GGAAAAAAACAGUAGAAGAAGAAGAAGAAGAAGCUGCUUUCUGCUUUAUUUGACAUUAGCGGAACCUAUAAGUUCUCUGCUGGGACUUUACUAAAGUCAGGAUAUGUGUUAAAUCACGGGAAACGGCGUCAAAUAGCAGGUGGAGGACUUUAGCGGCUCUACAGGUCGCAGCACUGCGUUGACCUCUGCCUGGCCGGACUGCUGUUGUUUCUAGCCGGGCUGCAGCAGGUGGAAGCGGCGGCGGCCUCUGCAGAGAUGAUCCACCUGAACUGGAAGCCGUUCAUCUAUGGGGGGAUGGCCUCGAUUGUCGCAGAAUUCGGGACCUUUCCCAUUGACCUGACAAAGACUCGCUUACAGGUCCAGGGUCAGUCCCAGUACACGGAGGUGCGCUACAGAGGCAUGUUCCACGCCCUCUACAGGAUCGGCCAGGAGGAGGGCAUCCGAGCGCUCUACUCCGGGAUUUCUCCUGCUCUGUUGAGACAAGCUUCCUACGGGACGAUCAAGAUAGGAACCUACAACUCUCUGAAGAGGCUGUUUGUGACUCAUCCAGAAGAUGAGACGAUGGUCAUCAACGUCUUCUGCGGCGUCGUGUCCGGAGUCCUGUCCUCUUCUCUGGCGAACCCCACCGACGUCCUCAAGAUCAGAAUGCAGGCUCAGGGCAGUUUGCUCCAAGGCAGCAUGAUGUCCAACUUCAUGAACAUCUACCAGACUGAAGGAACCAGAGGGCUGUGGAGAGGUGUCAUCCCCACAGCGCAGCGAGCGGCCAUUGUCGUCGGGGUGGAACUUCCUGUCUAUGACAUAACGAAGAAGCACCUCCUUCGCUCAGGCGCCAUGGGAGACACUAUUUUGACACAUUUUAUUUCUAGUUUCACGUGUGGCCUGGCGGGGGCGCUGGCCUCCAACCCCGUGGACGUGGUCCGGACCCGUAUGAUGAACCAGCGAGUCUCGUCGGGAGCACCCAUGUAUAAAGGAACGAUGGACGGACUGAUGCAGACGUGGAAGAACGAGGGCUUCUUCGCUCUCUAUAAGGGAUUCUGGCCCAACUGGCUGAGGCUGGGGCCUUGGAACAUCAUCUUCUUCAUCACCUUCGAGCAGCUGAAGAAGCUCCCGUUUUAAGCGGAGCAGGAAGUGGGACUUCACUGGUCUGUUGUGUUGGGCGUCAGACGGGUGUGAGCACGGCAGCACCUGGAGCUCAUUCACACCUUCAAAGUCAAACCAAUGAUGCGACACUAUAAUAAGUCAUCUGCCCCAUGCUCAUCCAAAUCUUUAUUUUCUUCAACUCCAGUCUGCAGCAUUGGAAGCUAAUUUCAUUUUGGACCCACGAGACAUCGAUCCAGUACAUAAUGUAGAAAUGACUGUACAGUUAUGUCGUAUAUUCUUACUGUGGUUUGAGGUGAAGGCACGACUAGAAAAGACGCAACUGAUGUGAACAGAAACGUUCAAAAGAGGUUUAAUUAAGAUAAGUCUUCACGAUGUUAUGAUUGAUAACAUACCGUAAAUUACGUAAAUCAAACGAAAUUUAAGGAAGUUAUAUUUCACAUUUUUUAUGUGAAUAAGUAAGCGAUAGUUUAACACUGAUCAUAACACAUGCUAUGUAGAAUUUUGCUCAUAUUUAUUUUGCUUGACUUGAACACAGCAGAGUGACCUCACUCUUCAUCCACCAGCAUCACCAAACCUCUUAAUGCUUUAUUUAAGUGUUUCAGUCGUUCCGUUUGUUUUAAAAAGGUUUUUAUUUGUUGGCUUUUGUUUAUCCUUUUUUUAGGUUAUAUACGAAUGUCCUAGAAUAACCUUUAGACUGAGACAAGUCCUCUUUCUUCUCUUGUAACUGCACAAACAUGCUGGAUUAUAUAACUCGUAUAUAUUUUAAUCUAACGCUUCAACAGCAUGUGACCUGCUGGAGGACUCGUUGCUGUUUCCUGCUUUUGUGCAGCUCGGCUAAAUCUUGUUCAUAUUUUGUAUUUAUUAUCUCCUAGUUUGUUUUCAUCUAUAAAGAGACACUCGACAGGUUUUGCCUAAAAACUCACAUAAAUCUGCAGCUACAGGAAUCUCACAAACUGACCUUUUUCUUUUUUUUAUGUACCGUGACUGCAGAAUCCAGAAUCAAACCGAUUUGUAAACGCCAUCUCCAGUCACCAAAAUAUGUAUUUGGUCAUCUGAAAAUGUUUGUGCUCGAGGUUUUUUUGUUGGAAGUUGUGUGCGUCAAAAAGGGUUUCCCCACUUUUGCAGCCGUUAAACCUGCACAAAAAAGACCAGAAAAAAAGAUUCUCAAAUGCACCUUUCACCGUCCCGGUGCUCCUCUGGUAUUUGCACGUUUUCAAAUAAGUUUGUAGCAUUUAAAAAAAAACAACUUUUGAUGCCAAUGAUCCUUAUUGCAAAAACAGACCAAUUCACAAAGAUCAGUGUUGAGCUGUGGACAGACUUGAGACUGUUCUUGCAGUUCUCAAUAUUGAAGUUGAAAUUUAAAAAGCUGCUCCAAAAUGAUAGAUGUGAAUUAAUCUGAGCCAGUUAAACCGUCUGUUAACAUUUCUAUAUUAAUAGACUUCUAUUUACAUCUAUUCCAGACUAACAUGGACACAUUUGACAACUUUAACCUGCUGAGAUCAGUUCAGCCAGGUUUGAGAAAUCUUGACAGUUUUUCUGACGUUUUUAGUGAAACGAUUUAAACUUAGAUUAUAGUUGAAAAGAGGCCGAACAUGACUAUACCACGCUGCUUUAACUUUAUUUAAGAUAAGUCUUAAAGAGACUUUGAUUCAUAACAUACAAUGAGCUCUCUAAACCAAAUGCAUUUUAAAUAACUUUUAAUUCUUCAUGUGAAUCCAUAAAUGAAAGCUUAGUUCUCUGUCUCAUCAACUGUCCGGCCUCUAAAACGUCCAGAAGGAUCUCCGUCUCUGCUCGUCCCUGUUUGUGUUGUAAAAGUUGUCGUAUUUUGGCAUUUUAGAACCAUAUAUUAUGUUUGCAGAGUUAUCUAUUUUUUUUAUUAUUAUUUUAUAGAGUUCUGCUUUUCAUGUUGUUUUGAUUUGACCUGAGAAUAAGUUAUUUAUUUGAGCUACGUGAACCUACAGUUAAGUGGAUGUAUUUAGUCCUUCCACUGGCAUGUUUUUUUUUAGAUUGUAAACUUUUUACAAAGUGCUCAGAGUCGACCACAUUAAAGGAAUACUUCACCUGUAUAAUUACUUUCUGUAUAUGAAUUACUCGCCUCGUGUUAACUUGAAUUUGUAAAGAAAGCCUUUCUCUUAUGACUCCACGUUGAACAAGAAUCAAAAAACAGAGAAAAGUCUUGAUGAAUAGAAGUAAAACUAAAUCAAAACACAAGUUUAUUAACUCUCACACAACUCGUGCAGAAUAAUCAGUCUCAUUUCAACACCUGCAUCUUCACAAAAACAUCUCUAUUUAAAACACUUGAGCGGAAACUGAAGUGUUUUAAUUAGUGAUGUUUUCGUGAACAUGCAUGUGUUUAAGCGCGGCCCCCAUUUACUUCCAUCUAUCGCCUCAGUAUUUGUUUACGCUCCGCAAACCAUGUGACUAAAAACAAAGUAUUCUUAAAGUAUUCGAGGUGACACAAGGUGAGUCAUUAACAUACAAAUGGUCAUUUUAUAGCUGCAACAUUGAACAUUUUUCAUUUAAAUAAAUGUUUAAGUCACUAUAACAGUGUGAACACACAAAAAACUGAACUGUGCACACAAUUCUGUAAAACUCAUGUAUCAGAAAAAAAACUCCAUUGUUUUCACUCCAAUAGAAAUUCUAAAUCAACCAAUUCAAUCUAAGGAUUGCCACUUUAAGGUUGAUAAGAGAUAUUUGAAAGGUAUCAAAAGCAGAUUUGUAAUAACCAGAUGAAGAGAAGAGUCCGUGGCAUAUAAAAUGGUGUCAUCUGCAUAUUGUUUUUUAGGGCGGCAGAUGAAAUCGUUUACAUUUGGUGAAUUAAAGAGAACCAAGACUAAAGCCUUGUGGUACAUCUAAACUAACAUUUGCUCCAUUGUAUACACACAGAAAUAGAACUAAUGGAACAUUUUUUUUGUUUUCACUCAAACAGAAAUUCAAAAUGUACCCGGACUGAAAUCUUAAGGUUUGCAACUUUAAGGAUAAAGUAUUUCCUUCAGCACCUUUUCACUUAUUUACCAAAUAAUUAAUUCCCUUCCCAUUAUUUAAUGUUCACAGAGAACACUUUGAGCUCCAUUUAAGAGUCUCUAGUUUAACAUUCCCAGUCUGUUUCACUGCGUCACUGAUGCGAGUUUGCUCAGUAGAAAGCUCCAGAAAAGGCCAGAAAGUGGAACCUUGAGUGACGUUUGUUUUUGAGAGCCUAAUAAAGGAAAUAAAUCCACAAAAUUGCUCUGUGGCCUAAAUGAUAGAACACACUUUCUUGUUUUAAUAAAAGAAAACCUGUUUUUGUAUAAAAAGAGGAGCAUGAUGUUAUUUGAUAAACUGAAGGCGAUUGUAAAGCACUUUAUCUUUAGGAAGGAGAGCUUAUGAUUGAUCGUGAGACGGGAAAUAGUUCCGUAAUGUGUCACGUAAUCAGGUUUUUUAGAUCUGUUGAUGCUUUUCUGUUGUUUAAUAGUAGUUGUAGUAUAGAUAAUCAGAAUAUUAUUUUCCUUUCUGUGCCUGAAUCAAGUUGGUUUGUUUUUAGUCUCACGUUGAACAAAACAGAUUUUUUGUUUCACUGAUUGAAUCAAAACGAUAUUGUCUUAUUGAUUUAGUAUCGGCAUCAUUCCUCCAGAUCUUAUUCGGAAGUUUUGCAAUAUUUCUCUUGACGUUUUAGUUUAAAUGUUUAUAAAUGAAUCCUUAUAUUAGGUUGUACGUUUUUAAAGUUGUUAAUGUCCCACUUUUAUAAAGAAGCUUCAGUCAAAAAAGUUUCUUUAUUCUGAUUUUUAAACACUUUUUUUUAUUUGUGUGGUAGUCUGACAGGAGAGAACGAUAUAAUAUAAAAUUGUACAUUUUCUCCUGACGUUUUUGCACUUUGGUGUGUGUUUGCUGUCUAUAAUCUUCACGCUUGAUGAUUUUAUGGUGGAACUUUUCAGUGGGGAGUGUUUUUAAGUUUUUAUCUUUGGGUUUGGCUUUGUAUCAAUUCAAUGUUAACUCAAAUAAAAUAUAUGCUGUGAUUGUUUCUGUAUCAGUUUGUGUCUUCUUGCUCAUCUGUUUUAGUGACAAUCAACUUUAGAAAUAACUUUUAAGUACUUUUUCCCCCCAUGUUUUUGUGUUUGAAAGGUCCAGAAUUGAGGGGAAAUAACAGACUGUUAAACAUUGGGGUGUUUUUCUUUCUUGCAAUAA